AUCACGGAGCACUCAUUUAAACCUCUAGAUUACAAGGCAAAAAAAGGCAACGCUAUAAAACCAGAAUGCGGAACAAUCCAGGGACCCAUCCAGAAACCUGCCACUCUCAUGAGAUCACAGCUAUUUAAAGCAAAUGGCAAAGAAUCAAUCAAGUCCUGUCCUACAUUUUUUCCUCUCUUUUUUCUCAUUCAAGUAACUUUACACAAGUCACAAUAGGAAAGAAAACAAUCACAACUUCUAUUUCACAUCAACUGUAAUCUUGCAUAAACAUACAAAUGAUCAAAUAAAUAAAAUAUUUAUU